UACGAGAGGCCCAAACGUUAUUCGGAAUUACUGGGCUUAAAGAGUUCGUAGGCGGCGCGGAAAGUGGGGUGUGAAAGCCCUCGGCUCAACCGAGGAAUUGCGCUCCAAACUACCGUGCUUGAGGAACCUAGAGGUGAGCAGAACAGAUGGUGGAGCGGUGAAAUGCGUUGAUAUCAUCUGGAAUACCGGAGGCGAAGGCGGCUCACUGGGGGUUUUCUGACGCUGAGGAACGAAAGCCAGGGUAGCGAACGGG
rnacentral:rRNA from 1 species